rnacentral:rRNA from 1 species
CUAGUCCUGCAGGUUUAGAUUACGAAUUCGCCCUUCUUGGUCAUUUAGAGAAGUAAAAGUCGUAACAAGGUCUCCGUAGGUGAACCUGCGGAGGGAUCUUACCGAGUUCAUGCCCUUACGGGUAGAUCUCCCACCCUAUGUUAUUAUACCUUUGUUGCUUUGGCGGGCCGUCAGGCUUCGGUCAGGCUACCGGCUCGGCUGGUAUGCGCCCGCCAGAGAACCCCAAACCCUGAAUAUUAGUGUCGCUGAGUACUAUAUAAUAGUUAAAACUUUCAACAACGGAUCUCUUGGUUCGGCAUCGAUGAAGAACGCAGCGAAAUGCGAUAAGUAAUGUGAAUUGCAGAUUCAGUGAAUCAUCGAAUCUUUGAACGCACAUUGCGCCCCUUGGUAUUCGGGGGGCAUGCCUGUUCGAGCGUCAUUACAACCCUCAAGCAUUGCUUGUAUUGGGCUCCGCUGUUUAUCCAGCGGGCCUUAAAACCAGUGGCGGUGCAUUGGGCCCUGAGCGUAGUAAAUAUCCUCGCUAUAGGGACCCUGUGGUUCUAGCCAACAACCCCCACUUUUUAAGUUUGACCUCGGAUCAGGUAGGGAACCCGCUGAACUUAAGCAUAUCAAUAAGCGGAGGA